ACGGCAGCACGGGUGCUUGCACCUGGUGGCGAGUGGCGAACGGGUGAGUAAUGCGUCGGAACGUACCGAGUAAUGGGGGAUAACGCAGCGAAAGUUGUGCUAAUACCGCAUACGCCCUGAGGGGGAAAGUGGGGGACCGCAAGGCCUCACGUUAUUCGAGCGGCCGACGUCUGAUUAGCUAGUUGGUGGGGUAAAGGCCUACCAAGGCGACGAUCAGUAGCGGGUCUGAGAGGAUGAUCCGCCACACUGGGACUGAGACACGGCCCAGACUCCUACGGGAGGCAGCAGUGGGGAAUUUUGGACAAUGGGGGCAACCCUGAUCCAGCCAUUCCGCGUGAGUGAAGAAGGCCUUCGGGUUGUAAAGCUCUUUCAGCUGGAACGAAACGGUACGCGCUAACAUCGUGUGCUAAUGACGGUACCGGCAGAAGAAGCACCGGCUAACUACGUGCCAGCAGCCGCGGUAAUACGUAGGGUGCGAGCGUUAAUCGGAAUUACUGGGCGUAAAGCGUGCGCAGGCGGAUUGUUAAGCAAGACGUGAAAUCCCCGGGCUUAACCUGGGAAUGGCGUUUUGAACUGGCAGUCUAGAGUGCGUC
rnacentral:rRNA from 1 species